rnacentral:snoRNA from 2 species
GAAAAUGAUGAGAGUUAUUGUCGCCCCAGUCUUAAUUUGCACCCAAUAUAUUGGAUUUGCAAGGUGGUGAUUGACACAUCAUAUCUGAUUC